UCCUGCUACAGACACUGCCAGCCAUAUCAUAGCACAAAAUAAAAACAUUUACGUGUUAUUUUGUAUAAUUGAAACGAAGAAAUAGAUCUCUAACGUUUUUCCGUUCUUAUUUUCCUCUCUGUUUAUUAUCAUCGACCAAAAUGCCUAUUUUAUCGCAUUUUGGGAAAACGCAGUGGGCGUCCGCUUUGAAAUUAUCCUGUGUUGCAUUGAUGAUAUUUCUGGCCUGUCCAGUGAAUUCCAUGGACGUGCUGGUGCCACCACAGAUCAACGCUCUCAACGGAACAGAUGUUAGAAUCCCCUGUGCAUUCACCUCAUGCUACAAGCUGGACCCCAGCAAGUUUGCCAUGAACUGGACCUACCAGGAGACAAGCAACAGCACAGAGGAGAUGUUCAUGACCUAUAAGAACAAGAUAACACCCUUGAAGUCCAGCCGAUUUGGAGACCGAGUCAUAUUUUCUGGAAACCUGGAUAAAAACGAUCUGACCAUCACUAUCUUGGAUGUGCAGUUGACGGACGAAGGCAUCUACAAAUGCUAUGUGCGCAACCCUCCAGACCGCAUUCAGGGUCUCGGCACCAUCCAGUUUAUCGUCCUGACUGAAUUGCCACCACCAAGGGAUUCGACCAUUGCUGUCGCCAUCGGGGCAUCUGUUGGGGGAAUUCUAGCUUUGCUCAUUCUGUCCAUGGUGGUGGUGAAGUGUAUUCGCAGACAUAAGAACCAGGAGCUGAUCUCAGAUGAGCAGAAGAUGGAGGAAGAGGGCAAAGCAGAUGGAGAAGGAGGCACAGAAGAAGCAACAAAACAGCCCUAACCUGCCAUCUUAGCCAUGGAGGCCUAACGGAUGGUGGAGCUCCAUCCUACACAUUCUGAAAUUUAAGCCUCCUGCCUGAAGAUGUGUAAAUCUUGUUUGACUCUUCAUCCUAUAACUGUCUCAUUCAACAUCCCUGGGUUUUCUCGUGUAGCAGUCAAACAUGUCAUGUUAGGAAGAUCUCCACCACAGUGCCAUGGUGUCCAGUUACCGGGUUUCAAACUGCCUCUUCCACUUAAAAUGACAGGUUAAGGUAAUAACAACUUCCUGCAGAACGCUACGUUUGGACCACACUUUUUUCAAUUCAACUAAUGUCUUCUUUCUUCAACUACUGCCACUAUUAGCACUAUUGAUAUUAGCCAUCCAGUAUUUCUGCUGAGAAUUUUCUAAAGAGAUGAAUUUUAAAUUAUACAAAGUCACAACUACCAAAGUGUUUUUACCCUUAAGGUGUUUAUACGUUUUGACAGUUUCUUGAGAAAUCACUGCCCUCAAUGUCCUCUCAAGUGGAUGUAGAGACAUAACGUGUGUGCUUGUGUGUGUGCCUUCUCAUUGUGCCGGUAUGCUUCUAUUGAGUCUAAAAGUUUAUGCUGUUUUUACAAUGCAGGAAGUAGAACAGCAGAAUAUUAGGCAGGAUUAUUACUAUACAUCAGUGUUCAAAAUCUAUAAUUUGCUAGCUUACAGCACAUAAAACACCUCCAAAACAUGUACAAUCAUUGCAUGACAAUUUUCUUACGCAUGAUACACACAAUUUGCACAAAAUAAAAAUCAUUGAUUUGCACAAGCAUAUGGCACAUUCUACAAAUAGGGUAUAUUUUGCUGUUCCGUUACAUUUUUUAAAAGCCUUAGAGGAACAAAUCUAAUGUUGAUUUAUUGACUUAGAUAAUGUAUAUUUGUUAUCUAACAUAAAACUAACUUAGCGUGAAAAAUAGCUUUUUUUAAUGGUGAUUUUGGUUUUAAAAGAUGAUUGUUUUAUUAUUCUUAGUUAUAAAAAAAAAAAAGUAAUUUAUUCUCAAUUAACCUUAUUAAAACUUAUUUCCCCAUUACCAAGUAAAUAAGCAAACAAGUAAAUAAAAAUUUCUGAGCCCCCCCCAAAAUAAGAUAAUUUGGAAGUAAAUAAUUUGUUCCCUAUCUAUCGUUCACUCCAACGUUAGUGCAUGACAAAAUCUUGGAAGGCCCCAUUCUUGGCCAGAACACGAUAUAUCAACAACUCCUCCCUCACCACCCUCGAAGGCAGUCUGGCGAGAGGGUAUAUGGCGGUCCUGUCCCACCCCCCCUGCCCCCUUUAAAAUGUUCCUGAGACGGGCAGCCCAGAGGAGAGGGACCAGCUGACCUGCCUGGAUCCACACUCGACGAGGGGACAAGCGCUGGAUUCGGCUCCAUCCCUGCCACCCAGCAGACGGCCACCACAUGGUCAAUAAAAGAGCAAUUUCCCUCUUCUCUGGGCCUUAUUCACAGCGUUUCCGACCCUCUGUGCGACGGCCGGACACUGUUUUCCUUAACCGGAACAUGUGUCGGCACACCCUUUGUUUUCCCUCAUGUUCUGAAACAUCGAAUUAGUUUAGACGAUCUCCCUGGCAAGAGAGAUCCUCUGGUCAGUUCUCAUCUAAUGAAUUCGGUGAGCAGAACAACCAGUGGUCCUCGAAGGGGUUUACAGCCCUUAAUCAUUGUAACCAAGAAGGGUGGUGGGCUCAGACCAAUCCUAGAUCCUAGAAUCGGGCCCUUCACAACCUCCCGUUCAAAAUGUUAACCCUCAAACACAUUCUCAUGUGCAUCAGGGUUCAAGAUUGGUUUGUGGCAAUAGACCUGAAGGACGCGUACUUUCAUGUCUCGAUCCUUCCAAGACACAGGCCGUUCCUGCGGUUUGCCUUCGAAGGUCAGGCUUAUCAGUACAAGGUUCUCCCCUUCAGCCUGUCCCUGUCGCCCCGCGUCUUUACGAAGGUUACGGAAGCUGUCCUUGCCCCUCUCAGGGAAGUGGGCAUUCGCAUUUUCAAUCUCGAUGACUGGCUGAUUCGGCUAUAGGUCGGCUAUAUAUUCAGCUCUGGUAGAAGGCAGAUCGGUGGGGAAGCACGAUUUGGUCAUUAGAUUUCUUAGAGGCGCCCGGAGGUUGAAUCCUCCCAGGCUGCACCUCAUCCCCUCUUGGGAUCUCACUGUGGUUCUUCAGGCCUUACAGCAAGAUCCAUUUGAGCCCCUUCAGUCAGUCAAUCUCAGUGUCCUCUCUAUGAAAACGGCCUUCCUGACUGCGCUCACUUAUGUGAAAAGAGUGGGAGACCUUCAAGCCCUCUCGUCAACGGUUCGUGCCUGUAAUUUGGGCCGGCAGACUCUCACAUUGUCCUGAGACCUCGGCUUGGAUGCGUGCCCAAAGUACCCACCACUCGCCAUACCAUACGUAACCGAGAUGUUUUUUCAAUAAUGAAUAUACAAAAGAUUCUAAUAUUCUACUGAGUGACAGCUUAGUUUAUACUAAAUUUGCUCCAAUUUGUAACCCUGCUAUUAAAAAAUGUAAUAAUAAUUUUAAAAAAGCUAUGGGUAUACCCUAUUUAUGGAAAAUGCCAUUUCCAAAACAUUGCGUUCACACAUAAACAUCAUCAUUUCAGGUGCAAUGAUUAUGUGGCAAGCUAAACAUUAUCUAUUUAUAGAUAAACGCCAAAAAACAACCUAUACAGAAAUUUGAUUGUUAAUAUUAUUGAUUGUGUUUGACAUGUUUGUUGUGGUGUUAUUUGGAAUGUGUGAAUUAAUUUUACAUGAGUAUCUUCUUGAACGUAUAAGAUGUGAAUUUCAUUUUUAGUCAGUACUGAAUUCAUAACACUUCAUAUUAGCCUCAUAAUCAAAUUUCACACAUCAUAUAAUCUGCUCUGAAAGAGGCUAUUUAAAGGUUUCAAACUGAGUAACAAGCAAAUGAAAGACACUGGAUUAAGCAAAUGUGCUUUUGAUGGAAAGAUUAAAAAUAAAUGGGAAAAAAAGAACAAAAACAAAACUAUAUCUAUUAAGUCCAGAAACAGAAAAUCUGCUGUUUUCAUAAUGACUGUGUUGGAAAUCCAUUUUGAUAGUGAAACACAUAGUGAUUGUGAACUCACUUUCGGUGGACUCGUAGUAAUAGACUGCAGACUAUCUAGUGGAUUAUGUAGGGAAGGGGCAGGUCUCCUACAUACCAUCUGCUUAAAUCAAACAAUUUCAAAGACUAGCCUCAAAAUCAUAACAGUAUAAUUUUGUGUUAUGUUCAGGAAAUGUGAGGAGUAUGUUUUAAAUAGUUCUAUUUAAUAAAAAGUAAAUAUAUCUAAAUAUAUAUUAUAUGUAUGUAUAUUGUAAUCUUGAAUGAUGUUGAAAAGUAGCAGCAUAUGUCUUAUUUAAACAUUCUGUAUAUUUAAAGUGAAGCAAGACAAUAGCAUAAAGAUGCAGGCUCAUUUACAAACAACUCUUAUUUGUUCUGGCAUAAAACCUCAUACAAGGUAUACAGUAUUUGUCUACAGAUUAGUUUAAAGUAUUUUAGCACUUAUUUUACUUCACCACAUACGAUUAUUUGGUUCGCAUGCUGUAACACUGCAUUCAUGCAGCAUAGGCCCAAAGCCUGGAGCCACAGUGAUUGUGAGCCCGGGAAGCCUCACCCUCUGCUGGGCAAAGCCGAUACCCUUAUUGGCUUCUGUUUAGGCACACUAUAAAUCACUCAGUGCCCUUCUGACUGACUUAAACUCCUUUUUAUUUAUUUAGUUAGUUAGUUACGCAUUUAUUCUGACACAUUCACAUCAUAUUGUAUUCCAAUAAGUAUUUAAUGGAUCAAGUAUUGCUUUUUGUUAUAUAAACAAUAUACCCGAAUGAUUCUGCUGUGUUACCUCUAUAAUUUUGCUCCAUCAGCAACUCGAAUUCCUUGUAAGGGAAUGUAUUAUCCAUUAUUUAUUUAUUAUUGUUAAUUUCAAUGUUUAAUUCAGUGCUUUAUUGUAUUACAAAACCAAAAUUGUGUAAUCACAACUGUCAACUAUCAUUGCUAUGUAUUCAAUGAUAAUCAGUUCAAUGAUAAUCAUGUAUUCAGUGACACUCAAUUACUUUGUUCACAUUCACAUAUAUACUGUGAAUUGUACUAUAUAUUUUUAAAACUACGUUCACAAAAUGUAAAAAAAAUCUCCUAAUGGAUAAGCUAUAACAAAACCAUUAAGCUCAUAAUUUGAUUUGCUGCACAGCAGUUAACAUUAAGCCGGCUUGUGAAAUUCAGACUGCAGUGCAAUGAUUUUAUGGCUAGUGCUAUUCAUAGGUUGAAUUGCCAAGAAACACUGCUCUAAAUCCCUGAUUAUUUUAAAUUAGAAUUAGACAAUGGCAUCCUAGUUUACAUGUUACAUAUGUACUGAUGUAAUAAUAGGCAUGAUACUGACUCAUUACAUAUAAUUUUGAAUGUCAGAAGCCUGAUAUUAUACUGAAAGUGAAUUUGAUCACAUAUAUUAUAUAACCACGAUUCCAUAUUGUUGAUUGUACUGCCUUGAUGAUUUCUUCAAUGCAUUCGCCUAUUCAUUUAUACAUCAAGAUCAAGCGAACAGCAGUCCAGCGAGGUUGGUUGGAAUGGUUUGGGGACCAGUUUUAUGCUCGUUUUUCCCUCAUGCAUGCCUCUGUUUUAGUGUCUCGCUGAAGAUCUGACUCUGGCCUACUUUAAAUACAUAUGCUUGCACUGCACCAUAACUAUGAGCUGCAUCACUGACUGUUUUUUUUCAAUAAAAAUAACGAAACAGCA